UACGUGGGGGGUAAGCGUUGUUCGGAAUUACUGGGCGUAAAGAGCUCGUAGGCGGUUUGUUGCGUCUGCUGUGAAAUCCCGAGGCUCAACCUCGGGUCUGCAGUCGAUACGAGCAAACUAGAGUGUUGCAGGGGAGACUGGAAUUCCUGGUGUAGCGGUGAAAUGCGCAGAUAUCAGGAGGAACACCGGUGGCGAAGGCGGGUCUCUGGGCAACAACUGACGCUGAGGAGCGAAAGCGUGGGGAGCGAACAGG
rnacentral:rRNA from 1 species